rnacentral:ncRNA from 1 species
UAAAGGUUUGGUCCUAGCCUUCCUAUUAGUUGUUGGCAAAAUUACACAUGCAAGUAUCCGCAUUCCUGUGAGAAUACCCUCUAAAUCAGCAAAUGAUUAAAAGGAGUAGGUAUCAAGCACACUCUUUAUAGAGUAGCUAACCACACCUUGCUUAGCCACACCCCCACGGGAGACAGCAGUGAUAAAAAUUAAGCAAUGAACGAAAGUUUGACUAAGUUAUGCCAACAGCAGGGUUGGUAAAUUUCGUGCCAGCCACCGCGGUCAUACGAUUAACCCAAAUUAAUAGGCAACGGCGUAAAGCGUGUUAAAGACAUACUUAAAAAUAAAGAUAAAACUUAACUAGGCUGUAAAAAGCAAUAGUUAAAAUUAAAAUAUGCUACGAAAGUGACUUUAUUAAAUCCGAUACACGAUAGCUGAGACCCAAACUGGGAUUAGAUACCCCACUAUGCUCAGCCCUAAACUUAGGUAAUUAAUAAACAAUAAUACUCGCCAGAGAACUACUAGCAACAGCUUAAAACUCAAAGGACUUGGCGGUGCUUUAUAUCCCUCUAGAGGAGCCUGUUCUAUAAUCGAUAAACCCCGAUAAACCUCACCACCCCUUGCUAAUUCAGCUUAUAUACCGCCAUCUUCAGCAAACCCUAAAAAAGGAUUAACAGUAAGCACAAUCAUCAGACAUAAAAACGUUAGGUCAAGGUGUAGCUUAUGGGGUGGGAAGAAAUGGGCUACAUUUUCUAUACCCAGAACACUUUAAACGAAAGUUAUUAUGAAACUAAUAACCAAAGGUGGAUUUAGUAGUAAGUCAAGAAUAGAGUGCUUGACUGAAUUAGGCCAUGAAGCACGUACACACCGCCCGUCACCCUCCUCAAGUACGUAUAAAACUGAUUAAUACAUAAUCUAAUCAGUUACCCAAUAUUAGAGGAGAUAAGUCGUAACAAGGUAAGCAUACUGGAAAGUGUGCUUGGAUAAAU